UGAGCGCGGUUCGGAAAAGAAAGAUGCUUGAAAUCCCAGAGCUUAACUUUGGAACUGCAUUUUUAACACCGAGCUAGAGUGUGUGUCAGAGGGAGGUGGAAUUCCAUAUGCCAGUGAAAUGCAUGAUGUGCGGGGAACACCGAUGGCGAAGGCAGCCUCCUGGGAUAACACUGACGCUCAUGCACGAAAGCGUGGGGAGCAAACAGGAUUAGAUACACCUGUUAGUCCACGCCCUAAACGAUCUCAACUAGCUGUUGGGGACGUAAGGGGCCUUGGUGGCGCAGCUAACGCGUGAAGUUGACCGCCUGGGAAGUACGGUCGCAAGAUUAAAACUCAAAGGAAUUGACGGGGACCCGCACAAGCGGUGGAUGAUGUGGAUUAAUUCGAUGCAACGCGAAAAACCUUACCUACCCUUGACAUGUCUGGAAUCCCGAAGCGAUUUGGGAGUGCUCGCAAAGAGAACCGGAACACAGGUGCUGCUAUGGCUGUCGUCAGCUCGUGUCGUGAGAUGUUGGGUUAAGUCCGCAACGAGCGCAACCCUUCUCGUGAUUGCUACGAAAGGGCACUCUAAUGAGACUGCCGGUGACAAACCGGAGGAAGGUGGGGAUGGCGUCAAGUCCUCAUGGCCCUUAUGGGUAGGGCUUCACGUCGCUACAAUGGUCGGGACGAAGGGUCGCCAACCCGCGAAAGGGGAGCCAAUCCCAGAAACCCGAUCGUAGUCCGGAUCGCAGUCUGCAACUCGACUGCGUGAAGUCGGAAUCGCUAGUAAUCGCGGAUCAGCAUGUCGCGGUGAAUACGUUCCGGGUCUUGUACACACCGCCCGUCACACCAUGGGAGUGGGUUUACCGAAAUAAUUAUAAGCCUAACCGUAAGGAGGGCGAUUACCACGGUAAAGUUCAUGACUGGGGUGAAGUCGUAACAAGGUAA
rnacentral:misc_RNA from 1 species